rnacentral:rRNA from 1 species
ACGGAAGGCAGCAGUGGGGAAUAUUGCACAAUGGGGGAAACCCUGAUGCAGCGACGCCGCGUGAGUGAAGAAGUAUUUCGGUAUGUAAAGCUCUAUCAGCAGGGAAGAAAGUGACGGUACCUGACUAAGAAGCUCCGGCUAACUACGUGCUAGCAGCCGCGGUAAUACGUAGGGAGCAAGCGUUAUCCGGAAUUACUGGGUGUAAAGGGAGUGUAGGCGGGACUGUAAGUCAGAUGUGAAAUAUGCCGGCUCAACUGGCAGACUGCAUUUGAAACUGCGGUUCUGGAGUGAAGUAGAGGUAAGCGGAAUUCCUAGAGCGGUGAAAUGCGUAGAUAUUAGGAGGAACAUCAGUGGCGAAGGCGGCUUACUGGGCUUUAACUGACGCUGAGGUUCGAAAGCGUGGGGAGCAAACAGGAUUAGAUACCCUGGUA